rnacentral:rRNA from 1 species
GACGAACGCUGGCGGCGUGCUUAACACAUGCAAGUCGAACGGUAAGGCCCUUCGGGGUACACGAGUGGCGAACGGGUGAGUAACACGUGGGUGAUCUGCCCUGCUCUUCGGGAUAAGCCUGGGAAACUGGGUCUAAUACCGGAUAGGACCACUGCCUGCAUGGGUGGUGGUGGAAAGCUUUUGCGGUGUGGGAUGGGCCCGCGGCCUAUCAGCUUGUUGGUGGGGUGAUGGCCUACCAAGGCGACGACGGGUAGCCGGCCUGAGAGGGUGACCGGCCACACUGGGACUGAGAUACGGCCCAGACUCCUACGGGAGGCAGCAGUGGGGAAUAUUGCACAAUGGGCGCAAGCCUGAUGCAGCGACGCCGCGUGAGGGAUGACGGCCUUCGGGUUGUAAACCUCUUUCAGCACCGACGAAGCGCAAGUGACGGUAGGUGCAGAAGAAGGACCGGCCAACUACGUGCCGGCCGCCGCGGUAA